rnacentral:rRNA from 2 species
GGGUUGUGAGGUUAAGCGACUAAGCGUACACGGUGGAUGCCCUGGCAGUCAGAGGCGAUGAAGGGCGUGCUAAUCUGCGAUAAGCGCCGGUAAGGUGAUAUGAACCGUUAUAACCGGCGAUACCCGAAUGGGGAAACCCAGUGUGAUUCGUCACACUAUCAUUAACUGAAUCCAUAGGUUAAUGAGGCGAACCGGGGGAACUGAAACAUCUAAGUACCCCGAGGAAAAGAAAUCAACCGAGAUUCCCCCAGUAGCGGCGAGCGAACGGGGAGGAGCCCAGAGCCUGAAUCAGCAUGUGUGUUAGUGGAAGCGUCUGGAAAGGCGCGCGAUACAGGGUGACAGCCCCGUACACAAAAGCGUAUGUGCUGUGAGCUCGAUGAGUAGGGCGGGACACGUGGUAUCCUGUCUGAAUAUGGGGGGACCAUCCUCCAAGGCUAAAUACUCCUGACUGACCGAUAGUGAACCAGUACCGUGAGGGAAAGGCGAAAAGAACCCCGGCGAGGGGAGUGAAAAAGAACCUGAAACCGUGUACGUACAAGCAGUGGGAGCACCCUUUGG